ensembl:lncRNA
GUGUCCUUGAUCCAUCACAGCUGAUUUAAAUGGAUAAAUUACCUUCUCAACAUGCCUUGAAGUUCUCCAGAGGCCUGGUAAUGAACUAAUCAUGUGAUUCAGGUGUGUUGACCCAGGGUGAGAUCUAAAACCUGCAGGGACACCGGCCCUCGCGGACUGGGAUUGGGGACCCCUGCCUUAGAGGAAAGGAGUGUUUCGAACAGGAUGAACAAAUAUAAGCUAAAAUAAAGGAUGUUAUUUUUUUAACCGUGAAUCAUGCCAACUACUCAGUACAGUCCAACAAUAAAAAUAUGGGGCUGGAAAUAAGCAUCACAGGUCCACUUUAAGGUAACUGUCUCCAGGAUGUAGCUUUAUAUUAGGCAUACAGACAUGAGAGUGGUAUGAAUCUCAUGUAUACCAUUGCAAGAAAGCGAGCAUCAUACUGCUCCAACUAUUCAUUUAAACAACAAAGUCACAGAAGGCAUAAAAGGUAAAGUUGAGAGCAGUUAAUCAAAGACAAAGCAGGGACAAAAUAAAAAGGAAAGAUUGUAAAUCAAAAUAUACUCAACAAGCUUGAGUUUCAUGAGGCUAAUUGAUCGCAUGUCAAACUAGAGACGGUUCAGUAUGAGCAGUCUGGAAUUGAGUCUCAUGGCUUGUUGUAUGAAAGUAGCAUAAAGCCAGAGAACCUAAGUGCAAACUUUACAAACAAACCAAAAGAAUCUGAGCUCUGCGAAACAAGAGGAAGCUGGUCCUACUUGAAUCUGCUCUUCAGUUAAUCAAAAUAAUACGCUAAGAGAUGUUUGUCCCUACUGACCCACUGUUGUUGAUGAAUUCAUCCCACACAGUCAGAAACCUCUCAGUCAAACUUAUGUAAAUGUUGUCAGCUUCAGCUCAGAUAAUGAGAAAUGUAGUUCGACUUUGACUACUUUGUUUUCCCCCUAACAUUCAAAAUGUAAAAAAAUAACACCCACCACAGUGACCCUCGGACAGCUUUGUUUUCCUGUUACUGUCUGUGUGUGUUUUGUGUGUGCGUGUGUUUUCUUUUGCUCUAGUGCCCUUCAGUUGUCUGAUAAGGGUUUACAACAUUGGGAUCCUAUUUUAGAUACAGUAACAGUUUUGGGUUCUUUUGCAUCCAAGUAUCACGCACCUGCACCAGCCCAGCACUUCUGCCUUCUUCUAACUCUGAAUGCUUCACCUAUGUGCUGCUCUCACUUAGCUUUCAAAAUAAAGCAGGCCUUAGAAAUAUAUGAUAUGAAUGACUUAGCGAGACUUCACUGUGGCAUUCUAGAAAUUAAUGGGUCAUGUUUCAGCUCACAGCAUGUGCUUUUGGUUUUCUAGGGUUCAUUUAGUACCAUCAUCUGUUGCUGAUGGAAACCUUUUGGCAGAUGCUUCAUUCAAUUUGCCUCCUGAUUGACGUCAUAUAAUGUCCUUAAAACCAUUAUUAGGAGGAUUAGUCUUAGUUUACACUUAAACGAGCUGUAUUCUGAACAUAAUGCUGUGACUCAGAUUCAUAUGUCGCCUGUGUUUGAACCUAAGGAGAGCGGACAGAUAGAAAGCCAGCUUUUCUGUUGUCUAACAGAUGGAUUUCACUCUAAACAGAUUGUCAUCUGUUGCAUUUCUUUGCUACCUCUUUCAAUAUGCGCUUACACAGACACACACAGGCACACACACACUGAAAAAGCUGCACUCAAAGGUCAACAUGUACCCAUUUGUAACUGACUGUAAAAAGACAGUGAACACAUGACACACACUUAAACACACGCACACUUGUGCCCACUUCUUUUCCCUCACCAGCAGUUUUUUGCCAAUGAUGCACUUGUGUUUUUGUCUCCAAAUGCUCUGCAAAACAUAUGUUUAAAAAAAAUGUUAAAAAAUUAGUCAUCAAGUUUUAUUUUUUUAAAACCUGUAAUCUCCAUAGUAAGACCUGGACUAGCCAGGUGCUUAGAAGUCAGUAGGUUUUUCAUUCAUCCGUUUAGAAAGUUUCAUGUCUUUAAAAAAAAAGAGAGAAAAGAAACAUAAAUGCACAUAUUUCUCAGCUCAGUUGUACCUUGGUGUGCCUAGAACCCACAGCCUUAUUUUGGGACAAUAUCAGGGGUUUUAACCAGAAUACACGAUGUUCUGUAGAGGACAGUUUCAUUGAGUUUUUUCGAGUAGCCCUCCCCAACCCUCCCUUUAUUUCCACAAUCGGUUUUACGAUGUGCAUGUGGAAGGUGCGCAUCCUCCACAGGGUGUGCUAUGUCAGUGUUUCAGCUAGUUGUGAUUCUUUAUUUAUUCCCCUUUCAGACGACACUUUAGAGUUAAAGCAAACAGAAAAACAAGCAAGAAAAAAAACCAUUUUGGAGUCUGAUUAAAAAUUUUGUUUUUAUCUAAAUUGGCUCGAUUAACUCUUUUUAAAGGGUUUCCAGUAGAUAACAAUCUAUUAUGUAGGUCUGCGUAUUUCGUGUAGAAUAAAAAUAAAAGUUUAAGUAAUAAUUGAUCUCACCAGAGUCCCAAAAUAAGUACUUUUACCUUCACACAUGCACACCACCAUGCAGUAAAACUCAGCAGAUCUCAGUGCUUUGAGCAGAAAUUUGUCUUUUUCAGAAUACACAGUUGCCAGGGCGCUGCUGUUGAUGGCACCAUCAAUAGCCUUAUGUAAAGGCAGAUAGUGUUAUACAUACAUGAACUAAUGUCUCUGUGUGGUAUGAAUCACCACCUUUUAUUUUGUUUUUUGCUCUUUUCUAUUUGCUCUUCUCUUUGAAGUUGAUCCAUUGUACUUUGAUUAAAUGCAUUGUAUUUAGUAAAAUACUGAUAAUGUUUUGGGGAAAUCACACAAAUAAAACAGCUGUACAUAGUGACGC